GUUUAACGAUAUACAGUCCACUGAUCAAGAAAGCCGAGGACUUGGCUUUCUUAGAGAAGGAAGAUGGAGUGGCAUCGCUUGAAAUGAUUGGAAAAGGUGGCUGUGGAGAAGUUUAUAGAGCAGAGCUACCGGGGAGUAAUGGGAAGAUUAUAGCUAUAAAGAAGAUUAUCCAAUCCCCAAUGGAUGCUGCAGAGAUCACGGAGGAAGAUACUAAGGCGUUGAACAAGAAAAUGCGUCAAGUUAAAUCAGAAAUUCAAAUUGUAGGUCAAAUCAGACACCGGAAUCUGCUUCCAUUACUCGCGCAUAUGCCAAGGCCAGACUGUCAUUACUUGGUCUACGAAUACAUGAAAAAUGGGAGUUUACAGGAUAUCCUGCAGCAAGUCACAGAAGGCACAAGGGAAUUAGAUUGGUUGGGACGACACAGAAUUGCAGCGGGGGUAGCUGCUGGUCUCGAGUAUCUCCAUAUAAACCAUACUCAACGCAUAAUUCACAGAGAUUUAAAGCCAGCA
rnacentral:misc_RNA from 1 species